rnacentral:rRNA from 1 species
GAUUUCUGGGCAUCAGUUUCUGGCCGGCCACGGUUUCGUGUGUUAGUGCUUGAAGCUUUGUCCAUCCUUCCAAUUGCUAAUUACUAUUCUUCAUUGAUUGGUAAUUAGUAUUGGAUCUUUUACUUUGAAAAAAUUAGAGUGUUUAAAGCAGGCUUUAUGCUAUGAAUACAUUAGCAUGGAAUAAUAAUUUAGGACUUCGGUUCUAUUUUGUUGGUUUCUAGGACUGAAGUAAUGAUUGAUAGGGACAGUUGGGGGUGCUAGUAUUCAGCGGCCAGAGGUGAAAUUCUCGGAUUCGCUGAAGACUAACUUAUGCGAAAGCAUU